GAUGAACGCUGGCGGCGUGCCUAAUACAUGCAAGUCGAGCGAACAGACGAGGAGCUUGCUCCUCUGACGUUAGCGGCGGACGGGUGAGUAACACGUGGAUAACCUACCUAUAAGACUGGGAUAACUUCGGGAAACCGGAGCUAAUACCGGAUAAUAUAUUGAACCGCAUGGUUCAAUAGUGAAAGACGGUUUUGCUGUCACUUAUAGAUGGAUCCGCGCCGCAUUAGCUAGUUGGUAAGGUAACGGCUUACCAAGGCGACGAUGCGUAGCCGACCUGAGAGGGUGGUCGGCCACACUGGAACUGAGACACGGUCCAGACUCCUACGGGAGGCAGCAGUAGGGAAUCUUCCGCAAUGGGCGAGAGCCUGACGGAGCAACGCCGCGUGAGUGAUGAAGGUCUUCGGAUCGUAAAACUCUGUUAUUAGGGAAGAACAAAUGUGUAAGUAACUGUGCACGUCUUGACGGUACCUAAUCAGAAAGCCACGGCUAACUACGUG
rnacentral:rRNA from 1 species